rnacentral:rRNA from 1 species
UGGGGAAUAUUGCACAAUGGGCGAAAGCCUGAUGCAGCAACGCCGCGUGAGCGAUGAAGGCCUUCGGGUCGUAAAGCUCUGUCCUCAAGGAAGAUAAUGACGGUACUUGAGGAGGAAGCCCCGGCUAACUACGUGCCAGCAGCCGAGGUAAUACGUAGGGGGCUAGCGUUAUCCGGAAUUACUGGGCGUAAAGGGUGCGUAGGUGGUUUCUUAAGGCAGAGGUGAAAGGCUACGGCUCAACCGUAGUAAGCCUUUGAAACUGGGAAACUUGAGUGCAGGAGAGGAGAGUGGAAUUCCUAGUGUAGCGGUGAAAUGCGUAGAUAUUAGGAGGAACACCCGUAGCGAAGGCGGCUCACUGGACCGUAACUGACGCUGAGACGCGAAAGCCAGGGGAGCGAACG